rnacentral:lncRNA from 1 species
GAAAAGUGGAAGAGGAGACACAGCAGCUCAUUCUUUCCCAGUAGCCGUUAGACUGAUUGCGGAGGGGAAGGUCAAAAGAGAAGUUCACAACUAUGAUACCAGCUCUAGAGGCGAAAGAACAACUGAGAGAGAACUAUCCAAGAAGUGUUUGGAUCCCGAAGCACAAAGGUAGACUUACAAAGGAUGAAAUUGAUCUCUACUACUAAGUGGAUCCAUCUUCAAGAGAGGGCGUUCAGAACACCCGGAAAGAUAAGAAAGGU